AUGACGGGGAAAGGCACUUCAAGCGGUGCUUUCCUGGGUUGGAAAACAGUGCUCCAGGUGAGGCUCGAACUCACAACCUCGGCAUCACUCGCACACAUACCGCCAUAUAAGUACCGCGCGCUAACCGAUUGCGCCACUGGAGCUCCCAGCUCCCACUUCCGGUCAUUGGUUACACGGCCUCCACCGGAACCUCGGGCGUGUUCGCUCCGGUCGUCACAGCACGCGUUACCCGGGCGCGCGCCCCGAGUGCCGGGGCCGCCUCGGGCCCGACCGGGUUCAGCUGCGGACUCCACCACGGGAGCCACCGGUUUUGGGGUACAUGUGAAGAACCUGCAAGAUAGUUGCAUAGGAAUUCUCUGCUUCUUCCGCUGUCUUCCUUUUUGGCUUCGAUGUGCACUACUGCAACCAAUCCAAGUUUAA
rnacentral:lncRNA from 13 species